UACGUAGGGGGCGAGCGUUGUCCGGAAUCAUUGGGCGUAAAGCGCGUGUAGGCGGCCCGGUAAGUCCGCUGUGAAAGUCCAGGGCUCAACCCUGGGAUGCCGGUGGAUACUGUCGGGCUCGAGUCCGGAAGAGGCGAGUGGAAUUCCUGGUGUAGCGGUGAAAUGCGCAGAUAUCAGGAGGAACACCAAUGGCGAAGGCAGCUCGGUGGGACGUGACUGACGCUGAGACGCGAAAGCGUGGGGAGCAAACAGG
rnacentral:rRNA from 1 species